rnacentral:rRNA from 1 species
UUCCGGUUGAUCCUGCCGGAGGCCAUUGCUAUCGGGGUCCGGUUUAGCCAUGCUAGUCGCACGAGUUCAGGCUCGUGGCGCAUAGCUCCGUAACACGUGGCCAAACUACCCUUCGGAGGAGCACAACCUCGGGAAACUGAGGCUAAUUCUCCAUACGACACUCAGCCUGGAAUGGCGAGUGUCCGAAACGCUGAGGCGCCGAAGGAUGUGGCUGCGGCCGAUUAGGUAGACGGUGGGGUAACGGCCCACCGUGCCAAUAAUCGGUACGGGUUGUGAGAGCAAGAGCCCGGAGACGGAAUCUGAGACAAGAUUCCGGGCCCUACGGGGCGCAGCAGGCGCGAAACCUUUACACUGCACGUCAGUGCGAUAAGGGGAUCCCGAGUGCGCAGGCAUAGAGCCUGCGCUUUUCUGAACUGUAGGGAGGUUCAGGAACAAGAGCUGGGCAAGACCGGUGCCAGCCGCCGCGGUAAUACCGGCAGCUCGAGUGAUGGCCGAUCUUAUUGGGCCUAAAGCGUCCGUAGCUGGCCGUGCAAGUCCGUCGGGAAAUCCACCCGCUCAACGGGUGGGCGUCCGGCGGAAACUGCAGGGCUUGGGACCGGGAGGCUUGAAGGGUACGUCCGGGGUAGGAGUGAAAUCCCGUAAUCCUGGACGGACCACCGAUGGGGAAACCACUUCAAGAGAACGGAUCCGACAGUGAGGGACGAAAGCUAGGGUCUCGAACCGGAUUAGAUACCCGGGUAGUCCUAGCUGUAAACGAUGCCUGUUAGGUGUGACUCCCACUGCGAGUGGGUGUUGUGCCGUAGGGAAGCCGCUAAACAGGCCGCCUGGGAAGUACGUCUGCAAGGAUGAAACUUAAAGGAAUUGGCGGGGGAGCA